GAACCUCCGGUGUAUCGGUUAUGCUGCCAAGUGUACCGCCGAGUAGCCGCGUUCGGUUUGGAUAAGCGCUGAAAGCAUCUAAGCGCGAAGCCAUCCCCAAGAUAAGUCUUCCCUUGAGGGGCGUAGGAGACGACUACGUUGAUAGGCUGCAGGUGUAAAGACAGUAAUGUCAAAGCCGAGCAGUACUAAUUACCCGAGAGGCUUUCUUGC
rnacentral:rRNA from 1 species